rnacentral:tRNA from 4 species
UCCCCAGUAGCUCAGUUGGCAGAGCGAGUGGCUGUUAACCACUAAGUCCGCGGUUCGAGUCCGUGCUGGGGAGCCA